ensembl:lncRNA
UUACAGGGGCGAAUCACGCCGAAUGCUCCGUAAAAAAUUGAUAGAGAUGGAAUUCACGGCACAAAUAGUUUACAAAAUGUUUAGAUUUAGGCUAUAAAAAUGGAUUUUAUCAAAGAAAACGGCACUUCAUUUGUUCAAUGAGAUACUCUGGAAGAGAAAUAAGAGCAAGAUAUCAGAAUGCCGGUGGUGGCUGGUCCCCUGCAAGAAGGUGAGGUGCCUGAGGUCCCUCCGCCCCCUCUGGACAUCGAGGGGUCCCCGGCAUACACGGUUCGGGGCAUUCUGGAUUCGAGACGCCGGGUGGGGGGCCUACAGUACCUCGUGGACUGUGAGGGGUACGGUCCGGAGGAGAGAUGCUGGGUGCCGGUGGGGGACAUUUUGGACCCUUCUCUCCUGAGAGAUUUCCACCGCCUCCACCCGGAUCGCCCGGCACCUCGUCCUCCAGGUCGUCCUCGAGGCCGGGGUCGGAGAAUAAAUUGACAAUCUACUGAACCCUGCUCUCUGCGCCUGAUUUCACCCACCACUCCUAGUAAAUCGUGACAGCUGCCCCAAAGCAGAGCUGGAGGCAGCUACUUAGGUGGCCUGGUUUUAUCUAAAUUCUCCAAAGUUCUUUAGCCAAUCACUUUAAUAAUUCAAUGUUUUAUUCAGGCCUAUCCAAAUAAUAAAAUAGGUGUUCAACUUGUAGGCUUUGCAAAAUUAG